UACGUGUGGGGCAAGCGUUGUUCGGAAUUACUGGGCAUAAAGGGUGCGUAGGCGGCUAUUUAAGUCAGGGGUGAAAUCCCGCGGCCCAACCGUGGAAUUGCCUUUGACACUGGAUGGCUCGAGUGUGCUAGGGGUGAGCGGAACGAGUGGUGUAGCGGUGAAAUGCGUAGAGAUCACUCGGAAGGCCGGAGCCGAAGGGGGCUCACUGGGGCACAACUGACGCUGAGGCACGAAAGCGUGGGGAGCAAACAGG
rnacentral:misc_RNA from 1 species